rnacentral:rRNA from 1 species
AUUGAACGCUGGCGGCAGGCCUAACACAUGCAAGUCGAGCGCGAAAGGUCUUCGGGCCGAGUAGAGCGGCGGACGGGUGAGUAAUGCGCAGGAAUUUGCCCAGUAGUGGGGGAUAACGUU